AACGCGAAGAACCUUACCAGGUCUUGACAUCCAACUAACGAAGCAGAGAUGCAUCAGGUGCCCUUCGGGGAAAGUUGAGACAGGUGGUGCAUGGUUGUCGUCAGCUCGUGUCGUGAGAUGUUGGGUUAAGUCCCGCAACGAGCGCAACCCUUGAUCUUAGUUGCCAGCACAUCAUGGUGGGCACUCUAGGAUGACUGCCGGUGACAAACCGGAGGAAGGUGGGGAUGACGUCAAAUCAUCAUGCCCCUUAUGACCUGGGCUACACACGUACUACAAUGGCCGAUACAACGGGAAGCGAAACCGCGAGGUGGAGCCAAUCCUAUCAAAGUCGGUCUCAGUUCGGAUUGCAGGCUGCAACUCGCCUGCAUGAAGUCGGAAUUGCUAGUAAUCGCGGAUCAGCAUGCCGCGGUGAAUACGUUCCCGGGCCUUGUACACACCGGUACUA
rnacentral:rRNA from 1 species